rnacentral:ribozyme from 1 species
UGCCCAGCAACUCCUAUCCCUAACUUCUCGUGGUACUGGCCGAGGUACGAGUAACCUUAGGGAAGAUCUGGUAACCAACACCAGUGGGAGCUUUGGUCGUAUGCUAGCAGGGAAGG